UACGUAGGGGGCAAGCGUUGUCCGGAAUUAUUGAGCGUAAAGCGCGUGUAGGCGGUCCGGUAAGUCGGUUGUGAAAGUCCAGGGCUCAACCCUGGGAUGCCGACCGAUACUGUCGGACUAGAGUUCGGAAGAGGCGAGUGGAAUUCCCGGUGUAGCGGUGAAAUGCGCAGAUAUCGGGAGGAACACCAAUGGCGAAGGCAGCUCGCUGGGACGUUACUGACGCUGAGACGCGAAAGCGUGGGGAGCAAACAGG
rnacentral:rRNA from 1 species